GAGGAGGAACUAUGAAAGUUUGUACCAAUUAAGGAUUUGCCUGACACCUCUUAUGGUGUGAAUGUUCUUCAUUCUGAAGAUGGCAAAAGAUCAGCUCAGAGAUGUGUGAGCUCAAGUCAGAAAACUCUACCCUCAAUGCAUGCAACUGUAAAAACUAUCAGACAAAAAAAGUUUUUAUGUUCUGUGUAUUGAUUGUUAUUUCUGUCUAAUCCAGGAGUUCAAAAAAGGGUGAAAUCCUUGAAAACAGUCUUGCAGUGAAGAAUUCAUUAUCUCAGUAGUUGAGAGUUUUUUGGUCCUUUCUUCAACAGAAGAAGAUCAGGUCAGAAAGUGAUGGGAGGGUGAAAACAAGAACUUUCUCUUUCUCUGCUAAAAUACUACUGAAGGUUAUUAAAGACCUCAGCAAUGAAACUUCUUCUGAAAAAAGAGAAUAGAGCUUCAAAAGGAAAUGAAAUACCUGAUUCCUAUUCUGAGCAAUGCAGGCAGGAAGACAAAAAGAUUGCCUUUCAUCUUAAAUCACUUGAAUCGCCGCAGAGAGCACAUCUCCUGUGCCUUUUCAUUCCUACAGAGUCUUUCCUAAGUUUGUGCAGCACCAACACAGCAAGGCCCUGGUCCAUGACUACUAGCUUCGGGCACUGCCGCAGUACGGAUAAUACACAGCAGUAACUUGCUGUGACAAAGCAGAUCCACGCUGUAUCAGUGAUACCCUGAGAAACGCAGGCGAGGUUUCAAAGCAGGAAUCAGAGCUGGCACGUGGCCAGGCUGCUGGAGCCGUGCGCUGCCUGCUGUGCAGCUCGCUGUUGCUCUCGGAGGGGAGCCGGUGGCACGUACUGAACGUGCGCUCGUGAGGCUGUUCGACCAGCCACUUCUGCCCUGCUUGUGCAAGCGGACAGGAUACUUCACACAUAAAGCUGUCGUCUGUUUGUUGACUGCAUUGUCGUAAGAAGUUUCUUUUCAGCAGCAAAGUUCACCGGUUCAGGACUAUAAACGCUGGAACCUAGCCAUGAUAAACUGGGCUCUCCACGAGAAAGAUAUUUCAAUAAAAAGCAAUCCAAAAUAUCUUCAGGCCUAGAAAUAAAACACAUUUUAUGUUCAAGCAAGCCUCUCUCACAAGUCUCUGUGCAUCGUGUCCAGGUAACUGUGGCUCCUCGCUCAAAGCCUGGUGUGGAGGAGGACGUUUGCUGAGUCCAGUGAGGGUCGUGAGUCCUCGUGACCACCCUCAAGCUGGCUCCUCACAGCACAGCUGGCUCCGUCCCCGCUGGCAAAUGUGACCGAAAACUCCUAGCGUGGGCGGUAGAAAAGGGUGGAGCUGUCGGUCUCCCCAGCCCAGCCGCGUUUCUGUGCCGUAGUACGACUGCUGCCUGGACGUGGGCGCCGUGGGAGGGCGGGUGCUGCAGGUUGCUCCCGCACAUCGUACCAGGCUGCAAAUCCAAGCAGCUGGACAGAGUUUGCUAAGGAAAGAUUUUACAUUGUGUUGCUUAGAGGUAAAUGUUCAAGCAACAGUUAAAAUGGCCUAACAGCUCGUCCAUUAGAAAACAGAGUUUUUUUCCACAGUUACUUCCCAGUCUUGGAUAUUCAGUCCUACUCACUGCAGAGAUCCAAAACUGGCAGAAAAGGUCUCUUAAGUAUUAGGCUGCCCUGUGUCCUUGGCACUAAAUUCAGAUAAUUUUGAGAACAGUUCAGAUCUUCUGGAGGGCUUUAUUUUGUAUUUCUUUCCAUAAGAAAGCAGUUCUAUUUUUAGGACUUGGCCCAAACUGUUGAACCCAGUGGUUUGAGUUUUACUGUUGUUGUUUUUCCUCUCUUCAAUCAAAAUGAAGUGGUUCUGGCUGAUCUAAGCUGAGCAGUAGUGCUAGUUCUCUUAAAGUUAUACUCAAGGAGGUUUUGUAAGUGUAUCUG